AUGUGGUGGUGCCCGAAAGGGAGCGUUAACACAGGUGCUGCAUGGCUGUCGUCAGCUCGUGUCGUGAGAUGUUGGGUUAAGUCCCGCAACGAGCGCAACCCUUGCCAUUAGUUGCCAUCAUUAAGUUGGGCACUCUAAUGGGACUGCCGGUGACAAACCGGAGGAAGGUGGGGAUGACGUCAAGUCCUCAUGGCCCUUAUGACCAGGGCUUCACACGUCAUACAAUGGUCGGUACAGAGGGUCGCGAAGCCGCGAGGUGGAGCCAAUCUCAUAAAACCGAUCGUAGUCCGGAUCGCACUCUGCAACUCGAGUGCGUGAAGUCGGAAUCGCUAGUAAUCGCAGAUCAGCAUG
rnacentral:rRNA from 1 species